ACGUAGGGUGCAGGCGUUAAUCGGAAUUACUGGGCGUAAAGGGCGCGUAGGCGGCACGGCAAGUCGGGAGUGAAAGCCCGGGGCUCAACCCCGGAGGGUCUUCCGAAACUGCCGAGCUAGAGUGCGGAAGAGGCAACCGGAAUUCCCAGUGUAGCGGUGAAAUGCGUAGAUAUCGGGAGGAACGCCUGAGGCGAAGGCGGGCUACUGGGCUGAUACUGACGCUGAGGCGCGAAAGCUAGGGGAGCAAACGGGA
rnacentral:rRNA from 1 species